UGGGGAAUAUUGCACAAUGGGCGCAAGCCUGAUGCAGCCAUGCCGCGUGUGUGAAGAAGGCCUUCGGGUUGUAAAGCACUUUCAGCGAGGAGGAAGGUGGUGAGCUUAAUACGCUCAUCAAUUGACGUUACUCGCAGAAGAAGCACCGGCUAACUCCGUGCCAGCAGCCGCGGUAAUACGGAGGGUGCAAGCGUUAAUCGGAAUUACUGGGCAUAAAGCGCACGCAGGCGGUUUGUUAAGUCAGAUGUGAAAUCCCCGGGCUCAACCUGGGAACUGCAUUUGAAACUGGCAAGCUAGAGUCUCGUAGAGGGGGGUAGAAUUCCAGGUGUAGCGGUGAAAUGCGUAGAGAUCUGGAGGAAUACCGGUGGCGAAGGCGGCCCCCUGGACGAAGACUGACGCUCAGGUGCGAAAAGCGUGGGGAGCAAAACAGGAUUAGAUACCCUGGUAGUCCACGCUGUAAAACGAUGUCGAUUUUGGAGGUUGUGCCCUUGAGGCGUGGCUUCCGGAGCUAACGCGUUAAAUCGACCGCCUGGGGAGUACGGCCGCAAGGUUAAAACUCAAAUGAAUUGACGGGGUC
rnacentral:rRNA from 1 species